CGAGCACCGGAAGCUUGCUUCCGGUGUCACGGAGCGGCGCACGGGUGAGUAACACGUGGGUAACCUGCCUCGAAGACCGGGAUAACUCCGGGAAACUGGGGCUAAUACCGGAUACCCUCUCCGGACCGCAUGGCCCGGAGAGGAAAUGGGUUUCCGCUUCGAGAGGGGCCCGCGGCCUAUCAGCUUGUUGGUGAGGUAAUGGCUCACCAAGGCGAUGACGGGUAGCUGGCGUGAGAGCGCGAUCAGCCACACUGGGACUGAGACACGGCCCAGACUCCUACGGGAGGCAGCAGUGGGGAAUCUUGCACAAUGGGCGAAAGCCUGAUGCAGCGACGCCGCGUGGGGGAGGAAGGCCUUAGGGUUGUAAACCCCUGUCAGGCGGGAAGAAGCUCGGGUCGGCGAAUAGUCGGCCCGAUUGACGGUACCGCCAGAGGAAGCUCCGGCUAACUCCGUGCCAGCAGCCGCGGUAAAACGGAGGGAGCGAGCGUUGUCCGGAAUCACUGGGCGUAAAGGGCGCGUAGGCGGCCGCGUGAGUCGCAUGUGAAAGGCCGGGGCUUAACCCCGUGUAUUGCAUGCGAUACUGCGUGGCUAGAGACAGGCAGGGGCGAGCGGAAUUCCCGGUGUAGCGGUGGAAUGCGUAGAUAUCGGGAGGAACACCCGUGGCGAAGGCGGCUCGCUGGGCCUGUUCUGACGCUGAAGCGCGAAAGCGU
rnacentral:rRNA from 1 species